CGAGGCGAACCGGGGGAACUGAAACAUCUAAGUACCCCGAGGAAAAGAAAUCAACCGAGAUUCCGAAAGUAGCGGCGAGCGAAAUUGGACUAGCCCUUAAGCUUUAUAGGCGUUAGGUGAACAAGCUGGAAAGCUUGGCGAUACAGGGUGAUAGCCCCGUAACUGACGACGCAUAUUCAGUGAAAUCGAGUAGGGCGGGACACGUGAUAUCCUGUCUGAAUAUGGGGGGACCAUCCUCCAAGGCUAAAUACUACUGACUGACCGAUAGUGAACCAGUACCGUGAGGGAAAGGCGAAAAGAACCCCUGUGAGGGGAGUGAAAUAGAACCUGAAACCGUGUACGUACAAGCAGUAGGAGCAGGCUUUGUCCUGUGACUGCGUACCUUUUGUAUAAUGGGUCAGCGACUUAUAUUCAGUGGCAAGGUUAACCAUCUAGGGGAGCCGUAGGGAAACCGAGUCUUAACUGGGCGUUCAGUCUCUGGAUAUAGACCCGAAACCAGGUGAUCUAGCCAUGGGCAGGUUGAAGGUUGAGUAACAUCAACUGGAGGACCGAACCGACUAAUGUUGAAAAAUUAGCGGAUGACUUGUGGCUAGGGGUGAAAGGCCAAUCAAACCUGGAGAUAGCUGGUUCUCCCCGAAAGCUAUUUAGGUAGCGCCUCGGACGAAUACUACUGGGGGUAGAGCACUGUUAAGGCUAGGGGGUCAUCCCGACUUACCAACCCUUUGCAAACUCCGAAUACCAGUAAGUACUAUCCGGGAGACACACGGCGGGUGCUAACGUCCGUCGUGGAGAGGGAAACAACCCAGACCGCCAGCUAAGGUCCCAAAUUACUACUAAGUGGGAAACGAUGUGGGAAGGCUCAGACAGCCAGGAUGUUGGCUUAGAAGCAGCCAUCAUUUAAAGAAAGCGUAAUAGCUCACUGGUCGAGUCGGCCUGCGCGGAAGAUGUAACGGGGCUAAGUAGUAAACCGAAGCUGCGGCAAUA
rnacentral:rRNA from 1 species